GAUGAACGCUAGCGGCAGGCCUAAUACAUGCAAGUCGAACGAGAUUAAGAGGCUUGCUUCUUAUGAAAGUGGCGCACGGGUGCGUAACGCGUAUGCAACCUACCUUAAUCAGGGGGAUAGCCCGAAGAAAUUCGGAUUAAGACCGCAUAAAAACACAGGAUAGCAUUAUCCAAUGUUCAAAUAUUUAUAGGAUUAAGAUGGGCAUGCGUGUCAUUAGCUAGUUGGCGGGGUAACGGCCCACCAAGGCGACGAUGACUAGGGGAUCUGAGAGGAUGACCCCCCCAACUGGUACGGAGACCCGGACCAGACUCCUACGGGGGGCGGCAGUAAGGAAUAUUGGUCAAUGGAGGGAACCCUGAACCAGCCCUGCCCGGGGAAGAAAAACAGCCCUUGGGGUCGUAACCUGUUUUUAUUCGGGAAUAAACCUUUCUACGUGUAGGAAGCUGAAUGUACCGAAGGAAUAAGGAGCGGCUAACUCCGU
rnacentral:rRNA from 1 species